CCUCCUCUCCGACAGGUGGCAGCGACCUAGCGCUUCAUCCGGCGACGCGAUCCCGCUCCGGGUAACCCUCAAGAUCCCUCGAGACGAUGAUCGCCACCGUCAAGGCCCCUUUGACGCCCAUGUCGCCGUCAUUCGGCUCCUCCAUACCCUCGAUUUCUCCGGAGCCGUCGCCUCGGUUACUGACGCCCUGGAGAUGAUGCCGGUGGCGCUGGAGUUCCUGUUUGAGGAUUGCGUCCGGGCUUGCGUUCGGUUCCUCGAGGCAAUGCCUUGGACGGAGGAGGAGGAAGAAAGGGUCCUCACGUUGAUCCCUUUCCUCGGUGAAGAGGAAUCCCGGGAACUCGUCGCUAGGGUUUCGCCCGUGGUGGCGGCCUCGGGAGAUUGGAAGAGCAUGUCUGAAGAAAUGCUUCAUGGAUUGAUCGACGUGGCGAUCAGGCGGCAC
rnacentral:lncRNA from 1 species